rnacentral:misc_RNA from 1 species
CAGAGUUUCUUAAACUCCCUGUAAACCCUUGUGAACCUACCUGUACGUCGUUGCUUCGGCGGGUAGCCCCGUGUAGGGGCCCUCGCCUCCUUUAGUGGAGGUGCCCGCCGGAGGACCACAACCUUAAACUCUUGCAUUUCAAUGGAAUCUCUGAGUAAUAUACCAAAUAAGUUA